rnacentral:ncRNA from 4 species
UACAGAGGGGGCAAGCGUUGUUCGGAAUUACUGGGCGUAAAGGGCGCGUAGGCGGCCGCCUAAGUCAGACGUGAAAUCCCUCGGCUCAACCGGGGAACUGCGUCUGAUACUGGGUGGCUUGAAUCCGGGAGAGGGAUGCGGAAUUCCAGGUGUAGCGGUGAAAUGCGUAGAUAUCUGGAGGAACACCGGUGGCGAAGGCGGCAUCCUGGACCGGCAUUGACGCUGAGGCGCGAAAGCCAGGGGAGCAAACGGG